rnacentral:lncRNA from 1 species
GAGAAGCUUCACGUUGGCGACGAAUUUUUGCUGUGAUGGUUGUGCCAUGGGUUUCAAAUGGAGGAGAUGAAUGUUGCGGUGGUUGGGUUUCAAAUGGAGGAGAUGAGUGUUGCAGUGGUUGGGUUUCAAAUGGAGGAGAUGAGUGUUGCAGUGGUUGGGUUUCAAAUGGCGACCAUGAAUAGGAUUCUUGGAUAUCAUUUUCUCGGAGGUUGGUUGCGGUGGAGAUUGGGC